GUUGCGCUUAUGGCUGUACUCAGCGUUUUGUCGGGGGAAAUGGCAUUACAUUUCAUGUGUUCCCUAAGGAUGAAAACCGAAGUCAGCUUUGGGUACAGGCCCUGAAGCGGAAAAACUUUAAGCCAUCUGCACAUAUGCGCCUUUGCUCGAAACACUUCGAGGAGAAAUGUUUUGAUAGGGCUAAGACUGGAGGGAAUUGGCUAAGAAGUGAUGCUAUCCCGACACUUUUCGAUUUUCCGGAGCAUAUGAAAUCGAAGAGGCCUAAGCUCCGUAAAUCACACACUAGAAGGCGUUCGUUAGAUGAUGCCUCGUCUUCUGAAAUCUGUGCUUCCAAUGCCUUGACGUUAUGCGAUAUGGAAACGAACACCCCGAAAAACAAAAGUUUCAGGUAUAUUGGGGGCUUUUCGAAUAGCGAUUUGUGUACUCCUGGCAUAGCAGAAAAAGUGAUAGAUGUGUAAAGACGGCAUAUUAGCACCAAAGCCAGAAAGUCAAAGAAUUUGCAGCGGUCAUCUCGUGGGAUGAAGAAGAAAGCCUUGUCUUUGAAAUCUUUGAUAAAUAAUCUUGAAAAUAAUCGUGUUAUAAAUGAAUCCCUGGCUAAUUUACUAAAGGCAAGUAUAUUUACAAUGCCUGUCAUUUUUUAAAUGUAUGACUGAUUGCAGGUUGGAAUACUUAUGCUUAAAUGAUGUGGCUUUUUGCUAUCAGAUGCUGCCACCUGGUACUUCGAAGUUGCUCCAACGUGUCAGUAAAGGUAAAGAAGCAAAUAUGUAUCCAGCAGUUCUUCGAACCUUUGCUCUAACACUGAAUUUUUACAGUAGCAAGGCAUAUAGCUACGUAAGGAAAAAUUUUAAAACAUCACUGCCUCAUCCACGAACAUUAAGAAAAUGGUACAGUGUUGUUGAUGGGGAUCCUGGUUUCAGUAAAGAAGCAGCAAUAGCGCUUAGAAUAAAGAGUCAGGAACUCAUUAGCAAAGGUAAGAAAUUGCUUUGUGCCAUGUCAUUUGAUGAGAUUGCCAUAAGGAAGAAUGUUGAAUUCUGUGGAAAUAAGUUUAUUGGUUACACAGAUUAUGGUACAGAUCUUGACAAUGACAAUCAGCCUGUUGCAAAUGAGGCAUUAACAUUCAUGUUGACUGCUGUUAAUGGUUCAUGGAAAAUUCCAAUUGGCUACUUUUUAGUGAAUGGCCUGGGUGCUGUUGAAAAAUCAAACCUACUUAAGGAGGUGUUGAAAUUUACAUAUGAUGCUGGAGUAGAAGUAAUUUCUGUUACUUUUGAUGGUGCUCAUGUAAACACUGCAAUGGUAGACAAGCUAGGGGCCUGUCUUUCAACGUGAAGAAUGAAAUCUCUUUUUAAACACCCUCUAUGUAAGGAUGAUGUUUGCAUAUUCCUUGAUCCAUGUCACAUGUUCAAAUUAAUACGCAAUACAUUAGCUGGUAAAGGUGUCAUUUUCGAUGGAAACAGAAAUCCAAUCAAAUGGGAUUAUGUAUUAAAAUUACAUGAGCUGCAAAAAGUCGAGAAACUUCUGGCUGCUACAAAAGUAAGAACAAAACACGUUGAGUGGUAUCGUCAUAAAAUGAAUGUAAGGAUUGCUGUGCAAACAUUUAGUGGUAGUGUAGCUAAUGCUCUAGAAUUCCUUGACAAGGAUUUGCAGCUAGCUGACUUUAAAGGAUGUGAACAUACAGUUAAAUUUAUAAGGACAAUGAACAACCUUUUUGAGUGUUUCAAUAGUAGGAAUCUCCUGUCCAAAGGGUAUAAAUCACCUCUGUCAAUGCAGACAGCUAGCCAUAUUUUACCAUUUCUUGAUGAAGUGGAAAAAUAUAUUAAGAAGCUGAGACUUGAGGCUAACGGGCCAUCUAUUUUGUAUACUAACAGAAAGACUGGUUUCCUUGGCUUUCUUGUAUGUAUACAGAGCCUAAGAAAAUUAUAUGUUUCCCUCAUAGACAGCUCUCAAACAAAACUAAAUUUCUUGCUUACAUAUAAAUUGCUACAGGACCACAUAGAGACAUUUUUCAGCUCAAUCAGAAGAUAUGGUGGUGAUAACAACAAUCCCACAGCAGCUCAAUUCAAAGCAGCCUACAAACGAUUGCUUAUCCAUCAGUAGGUAAGAGGGUCAGAAUUUGGAUCUACUUUGGAUACUGCAGAUUGUUCCAUUCUCAGUGUAUCUUGUGGACUGGAUGUGAUGCAGUCUAACCCGUUUACGUCAGCUAUCAAUUGUAAUUCAGAGAAGUUAGGCCUAGAUGUUGCAUCAGUCUCUCAUGAUCACUCAUACAGCAUUCCUGUUGUCUCAUUUGAACAGCUGUCAAAUUAUGUACGGAAUGUUGUUGCAUACAUAGCAGGAUUCAUUGUGCGUAAAUUGACUAAGUCAGUACAUUGUGUAGAAUGUGCAAAUUCCUUGUGUGGGGCAGUGGACAGUGACAUUGGCCUAAUCAGAAGAAAGAAUGUGGGAGGUUUAGUUACACCUUCUGCUGACGUUAUUAAAAUUUGCAAAGCAGCAGAGCAAGCUUAUCGGUUGCAACAGGCGAAGGGAAUGUUGUAAAAGAAAAAUGUUAUGCUUGUUCUUGUUUCAUGUGCUAUGGCAGAUGUUGAUUGUAGUGUUUUCCAAUCCAUCAACGAACAUAUUAUGGACUUUGAGCCCACAGAAAAUCACAGAAAUGCUCUAAUUAAAUCAAUUUUAUUUGAGUAUUUUAAAAUUAGAAAUCACCAUUUUGGAGCGUCUGUGACAGAAACAUUCCAGAAAGGUUGUGUGAGGAGUUUAUACACAAAAACUGUGCUGUUUAAGGGACAUUAAAUAUUCUAUGCCAGAUCCCUAUUACAUUAGAGUUAAUAAUUGCCAAUGUUAUGUUGUUUAUCAUUAUUAUUAAUGUUUGAACCAUGAUGUCUACACAAAGUACAGACAGAUGUAUCUGGAGUUCUUAGCCUUUCUAAGUGCCCUUACUGCAUCCACAAAGCCUUUUUCAAUAUAUGUUUGUACUUUACUUCUGUUUUCAGACCAAUUGGAUUCAUUUGUUUUAUGUAAACCUAGAUAUUCUUUUGCUCUUAACAGAAUAUAUAUAUUUAUGUACUGUCUUUUUUUUAUUUUUUGUUCCUUCUAGGUCUGUACAUUGUGUUGUUAAUUUGUUUGGGCCCUUAUAUUUUUACUAGAUUUAUUCU